CGGAGGGCGGGGCUUCCUAUCGGAAGCGCCCCGGCCGGCUCCGGGAAUUCGGACUUGUCCUCUGUUCUGCCUCGGGGCGGCGGCGUGGGCUGAAGGCCUUCUGCGCUCAGAAGCAAGGGAAUGGAACGGCCAUUGGGACGCUAAGGAGGGCAUCGGUUGCACUGAAACCCGCGCUACGUGGACCUCGGCGGAGUUCUGCGCAGCCGCCGCCGCUGCAGAAGCCCGAGGCGCGGGUCUGCAGGGCAGUGCGUGUCCCCAUGUGACCCGCGCGCAGAGGGGACCUAAGGGCACGUCUGAGAGCCGCCGCCUGCGCGGAUCGCGCGAGCCUCCGGGGUCUAAGCGACGCGGACACCUCGGCUCUGCUUCCGUACCGGGCGCGAACACAGGAAGAAGCGCCGCUCACGUCGCCGGCCUGAGGGGCGGCCCAGGCCCGAGGUGGCGGAGCAGCAGCCCGGCGUCUUUCCCUUCUUGUUUCCUUUGCGGCCCAGGUCCCGGAAAACAGAAACUCGUAACCGAGGAGGAAAGGAAGCGCCAAGGUCACCUGGAGUUUUAGGUCAAACCAAGAAACGGAGGAUGUCAAGUGUUAGGGCUCCGGGUCUCCUGUCCCUCGGUGGCGCGGAGCUCUCCUGCAGACGUUGGGGUGGGAGGGCGGGCUUCGAGUUUAGCGCGCUGUAUUUCAGUGGCCUCGGGAGAAAUAACCUAACGUUUUGUGUCGUUAUCUUAAAGAUUUAUACUGGAAAUGGAAGGGAAACAGGUAAUGGAAACCGCAUGUGCUUCUGAAAGCUGGAAGACACCUAUUAAUUUUGAAUUUGUUGUACUUCUAGGGAGUAUCCGGUGGGGGUGGAGGAAACCAGACAUUUAAUCCCAAUGCUCGGAAGCUGGAGGAUCUCUGGAAUUCGAGUUCAGCUUGGUCUACAUAAUAAGGUCGAGACCAACCAGGACUACAUGGAACUCACUGCAGUCCAGUGGCCUGCAUCUUACUAUGCAGUUCUGGCUGGUCUGGAACCCAAAGAGAGCCAACUGUAUCUACUUCCCAAAAGCGGGGAUUAAAAUGACCAUCAUGCCCUGCA